GCUUGUAAGGCUCUCAUCCCAUGGUGUCUUAAGGGUGCCUCCUAGCUCCUAAUGGGGCCCAGGCACGUUAGUGACAACCACACAGAGCUGGUGGAAGGCUAGGAGGUCUCAAGGCAUCCAAUGUGGAACUUGCAGUAUUGGUUUGUCAAGAGAUGAAACUACACCAGUUCAUUUAAGAGAGAACGUUUAUUAUGAAUAAUUAUUUACUAGGUAUAAAAGAACUGAAAAGGAAAAAGGGUAUAAACACGGAGGGAGGACUUAUCACUCUUCAGUCUUGGGGGCAAGAGAAGGGAGACAAAAACUGAAAAGAGAAGGAUGAUUAAAAUUGAGAAGCUUAGAGGAAGGGGCACUGCUCAACUGGUGCUGGUGUCUCUGAGCUCGGAGGCGCUGCCCCAUGGACCCAGGACCCACAUCUCUGAGAAGGGUGUGCCGCUGGCCGGUGCUGGUGUCUCUGAGGCAGCGUGACGAGGCUGGUUCUCCAAGUGCUGGAAGCGCUGCAAACUGGAUUCAGCUGCAGCUAUUGCAGGUUCCACUUCUUCCUCCACCAUCUGCUAGGAGUGCGAAGUAGGGGUUGUCUGAAGAGAUUUGAGUCCUGGGCUGAAAGGGGCUGAGGAUCUGGGCUGAGCUGGAGAAGCCGGAGAAGGAAGAUUAGCUCUGAGCUAACAUCUGCUGCCAAUCUUCCUCUUUUUGCUGAGGAAGACUGGCCCUGAGCUCAUAUCUGUGCCCAGCUUCCUCUACUUUAUAUGUGGGAUGCCUACCACAGCAUGGCUUGCCAAGCAGUGCCAUGUCUGCACCCGGGAUCUGAACUGGUGAACCCCGGGCCACCGAAAUGGAACGUGUGCACUUAAUUACUGUGCCACCAGCCUGCCCCAUCAUUUUGUGGUUUUAAUGUGCAUUUCCCUGAUCUCUAAAGAGUUUAGGAAACUUUUAUAUGUUUGUUGGCCAUUUGGAUGCCUCCUUUGUGAAAUGCCUAUUUAAGUCUUUUGCUGCAUUUUUAAAUUGAUGUCUGUAUAAUUGAUUUGCAAAAGUUAUUUAUAUAGUCUGGAUAAGCUAUGUUUUUUCCAUUAUAUUUAAUGGCUUUUCCUCUAUCUGUAUUGUCUUUUGAAGCACAGCCGUUGAACUUUCAUGGCUUAAUUUUUAUCACAAAUUUUAUCACUUAAUUUUUAUCACUAAUGUUAAUGUAGAUCAGUUUUUUUUUUCAUUAUGCUUAGUGCUAUUUGUGUCUUGUUAAAGAAAUCUUUGCCUACCACUAAGAUUAAUUCUCCUAUGUUAUUGUUUUGAAGAUUUAUUGUUUUGCUUUUUAUAUUUAGAUGGAUAACUCACCUGGAAUUGAUUUUUAUGUAUGGCGUGAGAUAGGGGUCAAUUUUUUUUUUCCACGUGGAUAUCUAAUUUACCCAGGAAUUGUGAAGUGAUGAUAGUAACUAUCUUGGUUUUGCUGCCAGUCUCAGAGGAAAAAUUUUCAAAAAUUCACAAUUUAAAUGCAAUGUUUGCUGCAGGAUUUUUGGUAGCCAUCCUUUAUCAGAUGGAAAAAGUUCUCAUCUACUUCUUUUUGGCUAAGUUAGUUUUUUCUUUUAAAUCAUGAAUUGAUGUUUAUCAGAUGAUUUUUCCUUAUUUAUUAAACUGAUUUUUUUCAUUAUUUUUCUAUUAAAUUGGAAAAUUAUAUUGAUAGAUUUUCAAAAUGUUAAACCAACCUUCCUUUUUCAAUAAAACUACCUGGGUCUUGAUGUUGUA
rnacentral:lncRNA from 1 species